UCCCGACUACGUUAUGCAGAAUCAGUGUUAAACAGCAGUUUGUGGGUGUUGUGAUUAAAGCAGCCUUACAGCUGGAAAACAGAGUAACAGGGAUUUUAGGGAGGAAAACAGACAGAGAUGAAGGUUAUAUUGAAGGAGGACUACAAUUAGUUGAGGAUCAUAAGGGAAAUGGAACAAGAAGGAAAACACUUUCUUUCCUUGAGGCCUGGAGGUGUUGUGGCAAGUGAGACUAAAAGUUUCUGACUGGAAGGAAACGGGACUCCAGACAAAUCAAGUCAAAUAAAGAGGGAGUAGUGGAGACUGAGAGGAGGUCUGAAGGAGGGGAUGAGUCCUUAGCGGAGUCUACACCAUAUCAGCCAUGACAGAAUGUCAUUAACUCCACACCCACUCAGAUGUCAUUCUCUUUGUUGUGUUUUGAGCCCAGUGGCACCACCAGACAGAAGCAAAUAGAUUCAUGCCCCUGGAUAAAAGAAAAUCUGAUUCCUAGCUGACUGAUGGAGUAAAGCCUUUUCCUGGCAUCCACAACAAAGUGUGCAUUCUGAGGAAAUAUCAGCCAUCCAUCACCAUCUCCACAAGUCUGAGAAGCUAAAUUAAUGGUGACCUUAUGAGUGAAUGCAUGAGAGUCCUCUCCUGGGUCCGACUGGGAAAAGGUGUAUGCGUGUGUGUGUGUGUGUGUGUGUGUGUGUGUGUGUGUGUGUGUGUGUGUGUGUGUGUGUGUGUGUGCGUGCAUUUCAAGUACUAAGAAGUGUCCAUGAAAGAAUAAUGAGCUCCUCCAAAUGAUGCAUCAGUCCCCAGUGGCUCUGAGAUACAGAGUAAUCCAAUCUUUUACGCAAGGAAUAUUGGUGUGACAUUUCAGCAGAAAGCAAUCGCCACCAUCUGUUUCAAACAGACAGCAUUGCUCCCACCUGUGGUCCCAAGAGCGCUGGUGAGAGCAUCACGACAGUCUCCCUGAAGGUGGGUUGCUUAAAGGACUGCAGAGGUCCUGUUGUUGUGUCUUCACUCCACUGCACUCUCCUUAAGCCUCGACACAGGCUGGACUAUGGGUACUCAGUGCGUCGCUGCACACAGAGAUGUGACUGGAAUACAGAGCACAAUAGUGUUAUGGAGGAAAGCUAAUCCAGAACCAGAACCAGCAUAUUCAGAAAUGUUGCAGUGGACACACCAGAUGAACAGCGGCGGUCUCUGUGGGACCGAGCUCACUUAGGUGUGUUUGCUCAAUUGGAGUUGACAUGCAGCCCAGACUAAUAGAUUAGAAAGGUCUGGGUGAGCAAAUCUCUCUGUCUCUUUCUCUCCAUUGCUCCCUUUUCUUCCCCACCAGUGAGCCUAUUUGAUGUGACAGAGCUUGGAAGUUUGGAUUUUGAACUUGACUGUGUGACUGUGUCUGCAGUGCCAAGGACAUUAUUUUGCAGUUAAAUAAAGGGACUUUUGCCCCUUUUAUUUGGUUGCACUCUCUCUAUGACACAUCAGUUCAUUAUGAUUAGUGGCAUAUGGUUUAUGUUGAUUUUAAGUCAACAUAAUGUUUAUGAAGCAACUCGUAAAACCACUUUAACAACUUUUACUGUUACAACCUCCAUAAAAAAGUUCUAAAAGCACAAUAAAAAAAAAUAUAUGCAUACACUGUUCCACACUCACAUUAGCAGUUACAAUAUUUGGCUCAUAGGAAGCUAUAAUGAUCCAUAAUGGGAAGCUAUCCAUCUGUAUUCUUCAGCUGUUUUCUCAUAUUCACACCCCUGUUGCCUCCAGUGGGACUGCGACGAACACGAAGCAGCAUCUCCCAGCUGGUCCCUCUUUCAUCAUGGGCUGCUGAAUCACCCACAUCCACUUUAACAAAUGUCCUAUUACUUGAGUUAAGAAUGGUUUUUCAAUUUAAUUGGUGUCAGCUUACCUUCUCACACUCAUUAUAUCCCUUGUUUGUUGAGUCUGUAUGUCCUUCACUUGUCACUAGGUAGGUA